AGUGAACGCUGGCGGUAGGCCUAACACAUGCAAGUCGAACGGCAGCACAGUAAGAGCUUGCUCUUACUGGUGGCGAGUGGCGGACGGGUUAGGAAUACAUCGGAAUCUACUUUUUCGUUGGGGAUAACGUUGGGUAACUUCCGCUACUACCGCAUACGACCUACGGGUGAAAGCAGGGCAUCUUCGGACCUUGCGCGACUGAAUGAGCCGAUGUCGGAUUAGCUAGUUGGCGGGGUAAAGGCCCACCAAGGCGACGAUCCGUAGCUGGUCUGAGAGGAUGAUCAGCCACACUGGAACUGAGACACGGCCCAGACUCCUACGGGAGGCAGCAGUGGGGAAUAUUGGACAAUGGGCGCAAGCCUGAUCCAGCCAUACCGCGUGGGUGAAGAAGGCCUUCGGGUUGUAAAGCCCUUUUGUUGGGAAAGAAAAGCAGCAGGUUAAUACCCCGCGGUUCUGACGGUACCCAAAGAAUAAGCACCGGCUAACUUCGUG
rnacentral:rRNA from 1 species